GGAAGCGUGGCCGAGUGGUUGAAGGCACUGGUCUUGAAAACCAGCAAUGGGCAACUAUUCGUGAGUUCGAAUCUCACCGCUUCCGCCA
rnacentral:tRNA from 1 species